UUUUGAAUAGAAUUCAUGGCAGAGUCGUCUUCUUGUAGUUUGGCUUGGGUCAAGGCUCUCUGGAAGCGGGCGACAGAAGAUUCCAAGUUUCCAAGUUUCACUGGAUUUUAAAAAACGUGUAGACAUAACAAUUAAAGAUCCGCCGAUUCAUCAGCCGCAGCAAGUGAACGGACGCCAUAGUCUCUGGCUUCUUCGUAGCGAUCAAGCUUCAGGUAACACAAGCCAAUCUCGUGAAAUAACCAGGUCUUCUCCAAAGCACCGCGUACCAGGGGAAUCUUCUUCUCCCAGCUGAAUUGUCAACACACAGAGACGAAAAUUAAGUAAAUAUGAAUGUCACCAAUAA